rnacentral:rRNA from 1 species
AUGGUUGUUUUGGUAACUCUAUUGUUUUCCCCUCUUUGUCCCCAACAUUCUUCCCAAGAUCCCCUCCCCUUCCCCUCCCCGACCCCCAACCACGGCAAGCCGCCGAAUUUAGUCCUCCACCGCAGCGGUGGACCUCACACCCCGCCGGAUCUACCUUCCGCACCUUGGAACCCCCAACUGCCAACUCACCAGUUCACCGGAGCCGCUUCAGCGACUGGCUUGUCUACCGCUUCAGAUCUCCUUGACCGCCAUCAUGGUCCACCGCACCGGAUCUGCUUAACCGGCACCCUCGUCCACCACAGUGUAGGCCAUUCACUGACUCCCUCGUUCGCCCCUUCGCUGGCCCUUCGUACAAGCCCUUGUCCGUCGCAACAGAUCCACCUCACCGAAAGCACUGUACAACGCGCCCGCCGAAGCCUUCGUCCACAGCACCGGACCCGCUCCACAGACGCCAUAUUCAACUCCACCGGCCUUGCUUUACCGAUGCCGCAGCCUCAUCAGAGGGUGCAGAAUAAACUACAACAACUAGAUUUGCAACCACGGGAUGCUGAUGAUAUCUUCAAAGAACAUUGCAACAGCAGCGAGGCUUCACAACAACAUAUGCUUGCCAUGCUCGGCAAUAAUUCGUCUAUCGUUUACCAUGAUGCCGUUCACACUAGGACACAAUGUACAACCCCAGAAUCUAUUUGUGGAAGCAGUGCACCAUCCAUGUUACUAGAUGGUAGCAGUUCAGAGGCAACACCGCCAGAGAGCAGUCUGAGCACAGAUAUUAUAGUGCUUGAGGCUCUACUCGAGGCAGAAAGAGAUGGUGUGGCUGCCAUGAAUGAGGUAAUCUUUAUCUUGAGGCUGGAAAUUACGGAAUUAGUGGCACGCAUUAUGCAAGCAACCCAAGAAUUGGAGGAAGUAAGAAUGUUGCAUUUGAAGACAGAGGAUGUCCUGCUGUUUCUACUAUCUGAAGCCCAGGAUGGCGUGGAUCCGGUGCUUGCCUCUUCUCCGAAUCCACUAAAUCUUACGCGGCGGCCACCACGGCGACCGCAGCGCCAGCUCCUGCCGCGGGGACCUCGCUAUUCCAGGUCGCGGCCUCGCGGGGCCGCUGCACCCGCGCCUCCGGGCCAGGCACCGGCGCGACCCUCUCCUUCACCCCCGCCGCCGCCGCCGCAACUCCGACGCCUCCUUCCACCACCUCCUCUUUGUCGCAAGGGUAAUUCAAGGGUUCCUUCCUCGCGCUGCUCCCAUUUCAAUCUGCCAUUAAUUCCUUCCCGACUGAAAGAUGGAUCCAAAAACUUAACUUUUCCCCCCUCACCUCCUCUCCUCGAGCGUGCAUGCAGGAGGGCCGCCGCCGCCGGCCAGCGGAAGGAGGAGCACAGGCUGGACUGGUGCCACUUCCACCUGCACAACCACACCCAGACCACCGCCGGCAGCAGCAGCGGCCACGCAUGCGUGGUGUCCUGCGGCGCGGCCGCCUCCAAGGACCACCUCUUCAAGGGGUCGCAGGAGCAGUCGGGCCUGGUCACCAUCGCCAUGGAGGUGGUGCACUGUGAGGAAAUCAAGGGCAUGUGGAAGAGAGAGGAGUUCCAUGGAGAAGAUGCUCUGCUCCACCUCCAACCCACCCUGCCUACUACUACAGGAAUAGGAUGCCAUGGAAGGUCUGGCAGCACCGCCGCGUCGACGGCGAAGGUGGUGACUGUGGCGGCGCGAGUUGGUGGCUGCGGGACUCAACAACACGGCUCAUAUAUGUGCUUCCGACUAAUCCAGCUUCUUUUGGGCUUCCUAGUCCGUGGCCUGCCUUCUGGAUGGAGCAAGGAGGGGGCAUCAUCCACACCGCAGAGCUGGUUGAGCCUUAGUGCGAACUGGAUAAGCAGGGCAUCGUCGGGGACAUCUCUCGCUUGUGCCAUGAACAGUUUGCUUGGUCGCCUGAUGCUUGAUGCAUAUUUUGGCCUCAAUUCGUCAAAAGUUCCUGUACAAGGAACUACAGGAGAAGACUCCUAA